ACUAGGGAUCGGGCGAUGUUAUCUUUUUGACUCGCUCGGCACCUUACGAGAAAUCAAAGUUAAGGGUUCUGGGGGGGAGUAUGGUCGCAAGGCUGAAACUUUAAGGAAUUGACGGAAGGGCACCACCAGGAGUGGAGCCUGCGGCUUAAUUUGACUCAACACGGGGAAACUCACCAGGUCCAGACAACCAUAGGAUUGACAGAUUGAGAGCNCUUUCUUGAUUCGGUGG
rnacentral:rRNA from 1 species